GAUGAACGCUGGCGGCGUGCCUAACACAUGCAAGUCGAGCGGCAGCGAGGGGUGCUUGCACCCUGUCGGCGAGCGGCGGACGGCUGAGUAACGCGUGGGAACGUGCCCCAAAGUGAGGAAUAACUGCCCGAAAGGGUAGCUAAUACCGCAUAUUAUCUUCGGAUCAAAGGAUUUAUCCGCUUUGGGAGCGGCUCGCGUCGGAUUAGGUAGUUGGUGAGGUAAUGGCUCACCAAGCCGACGAUCCGUAGCUGGUCUGAGAGGAUGACCAGCCAGACUGGAACGGAGACACGGUCCAGACCCCGACGGGAGGAAGCAGGGAGGAAUCUCCCAAAAGGGGCGAAAGCGGGAGGGAGCAAGGCCGCGUGAAGGAGGAGGGCUUUGGGUUUGAAAAUUGUUUUUAAAGGUGAGGAAUAUGACGGAAAUUUAUAAAAAAGGAUGGGCAAACUACGUG
rnacentral:rRNA from 1 species